rnacentral:rRNA from 1 species
UUCCCCUUCGGGGGACAAAGUGACAGGUGGUGCAUGGUUGUCGUCAGCUCGUGUCGUGAGAUGUUGGGUUAAGUCCCGCAACGAGCGCAACCCUUAAGCUUAGUUGCCAUCAUUAAGUUGGGCACUCUAAGUUGACUGCCGGUGACAAACCGGAGGAAGGUGGGGAUGACGUCAAAUCAUCAUGCCCCUUAUGAUUUGGGCUACACACGUGCUACAAUGGACAAUACAAAGGGCAGCGAAACCGCGAGGUCAAGCAAACCCCAUAAAGUUGUUCUCAGUUCGGAUUGUAGUCUGCAACUCGACUACAUGAAGCUGGAAUCGCUAGUAAUCGUAGAUCAGCAUGCUACGGUGAAUACGUUCCUGGGUCUUGUACACACCGCCCGUCACACCACGAGAGUUUGUAACACCCGAAGCCGGUGGAGUAACCUUUUAGGAGCUAGCCGUCGAAGGUGGGACAAAUGAUUGGGGUGAAGUCGUAACAAGGUAGCCGUAUCGGAAGGUGCGGCUGGAUCACCUCCUUU